GCGCGAAAACUCCACAAUGUACGGAAGUACGAUGGGGUUAUCUCGAGUGCAGUCCGAUAAGGGCUGCUUUUCCAUAGAGUAAUAUCCUGUGGGAAUAAGAGGGGGGCAAGACUGGUGUCAGCCGCCGCGGUAACACCAGCCCCUCGAGUGGUGGGGACUAUUAUUUGGCCUAAAGCGUCCGUAGCUGGCUAUACAAGUCUCCCGGUAAAUCCGGCGUCCUAAGCGUCGGUCUUCGGGUGAUACUAUAAAGCUAGAGGGUGGGAUAGGUGAGCGGUAUUUCUGGGGUAGGGGCGAAAUCCUUUGAUCCCAGGAGGACCACCAGUGGCGAAGGCUGCUCACUAGAACACGCCUGACGGUCAGGGACGAAAGCUGGGGCAGCGAACCGGAUUAGAUACCCGGGUAGUCCCAGCUGUAAACGAUGCUAGCUAGGUGUUGGGUCGGCCACGCGCCGCCCCAGUGCCGCAGGGAAGCCGUUAAGCUAGCCGCCUGGGGAGUACGGCCGCAAGGCUGAAACUUAAGGAAUUGGCGGGGGAGCGACCACCG
rnacentral:rRNA from 1 species